ensembl:lncRNA
CACAGGUUAGCUAAUGGCUAAUGUACCGAGUUUGUACAACUGUAGCUACCUAUACCCGGAACGUCGUUUUUUAAGCUGGGCAGUGAAGAUUUCUUAAAGUAAAGAGGGACGGGGUCUUCAAAUUUCCCACGCAAAUCCUUUUGACGAUGGAAAUGACUGACUGGAAGUGGGAACCUUUUCUUGAGGAACUAUCCAAGGUGCAGCUACCUCAGCAUCCCAUCAGAGGAAACUUAGAUGCUGCAUUGGAAUGAAGACUUCUAUUUGACAUUGAUGCACCUUUGUGGUAUUAUAUGCAAAUUGAACAGGAUGAAGGCGGAGGCUGUUUGAUGUGCAAAUGAUGAUUUUGGGGCACUGCAAUUGUGCACACCACUGCUUUUCUGUUAAUUGCCUUCCCUGUGGAGUCACAAAACUUUAUUACAGGAAGAAUGAAUGUAAGCAUAAAGAGAAAGGGUUUUACUUUCAUGGUUUGAGCCAGUGGAGUAUGUAGUGUAUUCAACAUCACAAUACUGAAUAAAAU